rnacentral:lncRNA from 1 species
UUUGCAGGCCCGGCACAGUCUCAGUUCCCCACAGCACAGAGAGGAAGCAAGGUCUUUGCAUGCCCUGUUCACUUGGCCAAACAUUGCCCUAGAUGUGCAAUUCAACCCAUAUAAAGCAAGCGUAAUUCAAGAGCCCUGACUCUUUCACCAUUUCAUGAUGGCUUAUUACUCGCACACGGCAUUGUCAGGUUCCAGCAACUCUGUGUGCAGCAGGCAGAAAUGCAGUGUUUAUCUCUGACAGGCAAACAUUCUUAGGCUCAUCGGCAUGAGUAUCCACGCUGAACUGGCUAUCGGGGAAGUAGAUCCCUGCAUGGGAAAGUCAAGUAUCCCCACUGUGUAGAGCUGGUCCACAAUGGAGAGGAGGAAAAGUUUUGCAUUGGACCAAAUCACUGCCUUAGAAGGAAAGAGAUUGCAAUCCCAUUCAUUUUUAAGAUCUGCAAUGGGUUGGGAUGAUACCCAUUUAAAAAAGAAAAAAAAAGAGGUUACCUCUUUGGCCUCUUUGGCAAAGGAUAUGAACUAGUAAUAAAGCCUCAGCAUCAAGGCUUGGGAGUCUGGCUCAAAGUGGCUAAGACUAGAAGCAUCUUCUAACAUAAAUAUGGCAGCAUUAGGAAAAUAGCUUGGCCUUUAGAGAGACCCAGAUUAUCUUCACCUUAAAAACUACCAAGACCCUGGUCCAGCAAGACCACCAUCACAGCAGUAAAUACAUAGCCACCAACUUCACAGAAGGUUUUCCACUGAGACAUUGUGAAAACCACAAUCCAUUACCGGUGGAUGAGUCCCAGCUCUCUUACUACCUGGAGCUUCCAAGCAAGACUUACCUGUCCUUUGUUCCAGAUUGGUUCCUGGGAUCCUGGACCAACACAAAGAGAAGAGGAAAGCCUCAAGGGAAAUAAAAGUGAAGGUUUCAGUGAUAGUUUAAAUAUAUAUUUUUAAAUGUUAGCUUUUUUUUAAAUACUUCACAGUGAUGGAUGGAGUAUUUCAACCACAAUGGCAAAGAAUGAAUUACCGGCAGUGUCAGAGUUUCUUGUUGCUGUGGGAAGACAGCUGCCAUGUUGAGAGGUGCCUUGUGGAGAGGCUCAUGUGGCGAGGAACUGAGACUGGCUUCUAUCCAACAACCAGUGAGGAACUAAGGCCCUAAAGUCCUAUAGUCCACAAGGAACUAAAUCCUACCAACAACUACAUGAGUGAGCCUGGAAUCUGAUUUUCCCCAGUGGGGACUUAAGGUACCUACAACCUGGCUGUUAUGGGCUAAACUGCAUCCUGCCCAAAUUUAUAUGUUUGAGUCUUAACUCCCAGCACUUCAGAACAUGGUUUUGUUUGGAGACAUAGUCAUUAAAGAGGUAAUGAAGUUAAAAUGAGGUCAUUAGGAUGAGUCCUAAUCCAAUAGGACUGGUGUUCUUAUAUGAAGAGGAAAUUUGAACACAGACACAUAUACAGGAAAGACCAUGCGAAGAAGACACAGAGAGGAAACGGCCAUCUACAAUCCAAGGAGAGAGGCCUCAGAACAAGCCAACCCUGCAGAUACCUUGAUCUAGGCAUCCAGAAUUGUAUGAAAAUACAUUUUUGUUAUUUAAGCUACCCAGUCUGUGGUGCUUUGUUAUGGCAAUCCCAGAAAACUAAUUAACUAAUUGACUGCAGCCUUGCAAGGGACCCUGAACCAGAGGACCCAGUUAAGCCAUGUGCAGAUUCCUGACUCACAGAACUAGGAGAUAACAAAUGUUUGUUGUUCUAAGGUGCUAAAUGUUGGGAAAAUAUGUUAUGUGGCUAUGUUGUUUUGCACAUGUGCCACAUAAUGAUGUUUUGGUCAACAACAGACCACACAUAUGAUGGUGGGCCCAUAAGAUUGUAAUACUGUGUUUCUAUUAUGCAUUCUCUAUUUAUAGAUACACAAAUACUUGCCACUGUGUUACAAUUGCCUACUGUCUUCAGUACUGUAACAUGCUGUACAGGUUUGUAGCCCAGAAGCAAUAGACUAUACCAUACAGUCUGGGUGUGUAGUAGGCUAUACCAUCUAUGUUUGUGAAGUACACUCUAUGAUGUUCACAUAAUUAUGAAGUUGCCUAGUGAUGCAUUUCUCAGAAUGCAUGCCCGACAUUAAGUGACACUUGGCUUUAUGUCUAUCAUGCAUUUAAGAUAUUGCAAUAUAGUUAACUUAUGUUUUAAUACACCUCUUAAUUCUGUUUUGAUCCCACACCAACCAAGAUGCAAAACUAAUUUUUUCGCCCAUUUCCAUAAAAAACACAAUUACAAUGGGAAAAAAAAAAAAAAAAAA